rnacentral:ncRNA from 2 species
AAAACGCACCAGGGGUGCCUGUAUCUGCUUUUAGCUCUUUGGCAUUUUGGCCAGGAUGCCGUGGCAGAUGAGGCUGAGAAAGUCCCUUUGAACCUGAACAGGGUAAUGCCUGCGUAGGGAGUGUGCAUUUUCUUUUUC